UACAGGCUUAACACAUGCAAGUCGAGGGCCUGCAUGGUCUUAGCUUGCUAAGGCCGAUGGCGACCGGCGCACGGGUGAGUAACACGUAUCCAACCUGCCGUCUACUCUUGGACAGCCUUCUGAAAGGAAGAUUAAUACAAGAUGGCAUCAUGAGUCCGCAUGUUCACAUGAUUAAAGGUAUUCCGGUAGACGAUGGGGAUGCGUUCCAUUAGAUAGUAGGCGGGGUAACGGCCCACCUAGUCUUCGAUGGAUAGGGGUUCUGAGAGGAAGGUCCCCCACAUUGGAACUGAGACACGGUCCAAACUCCUACGGGAGGCAGCAGUGAGGAAUAUUGGUCAAUGGGCGAGAGCCUGAACCAGCCAAGUAGCGUGAAGGAUGACUGCCCUAUGGGUUGUAAACUUCUUUUAUAAAGGAAUAAAGUCGGGUAUGGAUACCCGUUUGCAUGUACUUUAUGAAUAAGGAUCGGCUAACUCCGUGCCAGCAGCCGCGGUAAUACGGAGGAUCCGAGCGUUAUCCGGAUUUAUUGGGUUUAAAGGGAGCGUAGAUGGAUGUUUAAGUCAGUUGUGAAAGUUUGCGGCUCAACCGUAAAAUUGCAGUUGAUACUGGAUAUCUUGAGUGCAGUUGAGGCAGGCGGAAUUCGUGGUGUAGCGGUGAAAUGCUUAGAUAUCACGAAGAACUCCGAUUGCGAAGGCAGCCUGCUAAGCUGCAACUGACAUUGAGGCUCGAAAGUGUGGGUAUCAAACAGGAUUAGAUACCCUGGUAGUCCACACGGUAAACGAUGAAUACUCGCUGUUUGCGAUAUACAGCAAGCGGCCAAGCGAAAGCGUUAAGUAUUCCACCUGGGGAGUACGCCGGCAACGGUGAAACUCAAAGGAAUUGACGGGGGCCCGCACAAGCGGAGGAACAUGUGGUUUAAUUCGAUGAUACGCGAGGAACCUUACCCGGGCCUAAAUUGCAGAUGAAUUACGGUGAAAGCCGUAAGCCGCAAGGCAUCUGUGAAGGUGCUGCAUGGUUGUCGUCAGCUCGUGCCGUGAGGUGUCGGCUUAAGUGCCAUAACGAGCGCAACCCUUGUUGUCAGUUACUAACAGGUUCCGCUGAGGACUCUGACAAGACUGCCAUCGUAAGAUGUGAGGAAGGUGGGGAUGACGUCAAAUCAGCACGGCCCUUACGUCCGGGGCUACACACGUGUUACAAUGGGGGGUACAGAGGGCCGCUACCACGCGAGUGGAUGCCAAUCCCAAAAACCUCUCUCAGUUCGGACUGGAGUCUGCAACCCGACUCCACGAAGCUGGAUUCGCUAGUAAUCGCGCAUCAGCCACGGCGCGGUGAAUACGUUCCCGGGCCUUGUACACACCGCCCGUCAAGCCAUGGGAGCCGGGGGUACCUGAAGUGCGUAACCGCGAGGAGCGCCCUAGGGUAAAACUGGUGACUGGGG
rnacentral:rRNA from 1 species